UACGGAGGGUGCAAGCGUUAAUCGGAAUUACUGGGCGUAAAGCGUGCGCAGGCGGUUUGUUAAGUCUGUUGUGAAAUCCCCGAGCUCAACUUGGGAAUUGCAAUGGAUACUGGCAGGCUGGAGUAUGGCAGAGGAAGGUGGAAUUCCCGGUGUAGCAGUGAAAUGCGUAGAGAUCGGGAGGAACACCAGUGGCGAAGGCGGCCUUCUGGACCAAUACUGACGCUCAUGCACGAAAGCGUGGGGAGCAAACAGG
rnacentral:rRNA from 1 species